AGUGAACGCUGGCGGUAGGCCUAACACAUGCAAGUCGAACGGCAGCACAGUAAGAGCUUGCUCUUACGGGUGGCGAGUGGCGGACGGGUGAGGAGUACAUCGGAAUCUACUUUUUCGUGGGGGAUAACGUAGGGAAACUUACGCUAAUACCGCAUACGACCUACGGGUGAAAGCAGGGGAUCUUCGGACCUUGCGCGAUUGAAUGAGCCGAUGUCGGAUUAGCUAGUUGGCGGGGUAAAGGCCCACCAAGGCGACGAUCCGUAGCUGGUCUGAUAGGAUGAUCAGCGACACUGGAACUGAGACACGGUCUAGACUCCUAGGGGAGGCAGCAGUGGGGAAUAUUGGACAAUGGGCGCAAGCCUGAUCCAGCCAUACCGCGUGGGUGAAGAAGGCCUUCGGGUUGUAAAGCCGUUUUGUUGGGAAAGAAAAGCAGCAGGUUAAUACCCCGCUGUUCUGACGGUACCCAAAGAAUAAGCACCGGCUAACUUCGUG
rnacentral:rRNA from 1 species